AUGGGAUUUUUGCUCCUUGUAAUUUUCACUGUAGCAGCUUUGGAAGGUGUCCGGUCCCAGGUGCAGCUGGUGGAGUCCGGCGGGGAUGUGAAAAAGCCCGGAGACUCUCUCCGCCUCUCCUGCAAAGCCUCCGGCUUCACUUUCAGCAGCUACGGCAUGAUCUGGGUCCGACAGGCUCCCGGGAAGGGACUAGAAUGGGUCACUUAUAUAAGUAACGGUGGGGCGGGACCAUUCCCCCGCUUACAUAUACACUACCUUGAUUCAGUGAAAGGCCGGUUCACCAUCUCCCGGGAUGAUUCCAAGAGUGAGCUGUAUCUGCAAAUGACCGGCCUGAAGCCCGAGGACACCGCCCGCUACUACUGUGCGAGACACACACAGUGA